rnacentral:lncRNA from 1 species
GGGAGGCGGCGCAGGCCGCGGCGGGGCCUGCAGCGGCCCGCCGACCCCGCGAGGCGGCGGAGCGGGCCCCGGGGCGGCUCAGCCUCGGGCUCGGCGGCCCGGGGCGGCCGGGGGCGGCCCCUCGGCUACUUACCGGGGGGAAAGAGAGCCGGGAUCCCGGGGCCCCGGGCCGGACCGCGGAGAUGCCCCAAACUGACACGGCCGCCAUCUUGGAGACAGGCUCUGAAUUCCAACAUUUGGCACCAUUUGUCCUGCUGAACUGCACCCAUUCGCGAGCAAGGUCACAGAUGAGUUUGCUGCAACUCUCUCCACUCUACUGGCAGCACGACGGCAAAGUGAUUCCCGAGGCCCCUGGCCCCAGACCUCAGCCGGGAUUUGUGGAGUGACUGGUUCUUCCUUCCUCCAGCAUUGUUGUUUUGAGUCUCUGUUCAUCUGCCUGCUCAGGCCCAGGGGGGAGCCGAGCGUAUUAUUAACUGAGUGUCAGGCUGUGUGUGUCUGAGCGGCGGUGAGCGCACGUGUCCUACGCCGAUUUCUGGUGCGCGCAGGCGGGGGAGGAAGCAAUUCCAAGCGCAAGUGGCGGCUUGUCCCUUUCGCAGAGUGUGUUGCGCCGAGGUGGCGUUGCGAUCCGUGGUAUGUAGUGCUGGCCUGAAACUCCUGACGACACCGUCCCAAACGUGGUCCACAGUCCUCCCCCGAACGAAGGGAGGUGUUUAAAGGUGUCUCUGAGAAACAGGCGCAACCCAGGCAGCCCGGCUCCAGAACAAUGGGUCCUUUCAGCCGCCCCCUUUAGAUGUAUGGCUCGUCACCAUGACAACCACCCCAUUAUUGAAAGUCAGAGCCGGUCCCUGCCGCAGACGCUCUGCUCCCGGGCGCCCCUCCCCCGCCGGCCCGCCGUAUGGUGUGUGUGGCACUGGCAGCUGUUGUCAAAAGAAGGCACUUCUUUGUCUCCAGGGGAUGAAAGACAUUUGGUUUUCAUCGCCACCCUUUCUCUCCUCCCGACAACUUUUCUCCGCGCACGGCGCCCUGUCCCCAGAAGUGCCCCCUGGAUGCUGGAGCCCGGCGCCGAGUCCCCGCCGUAACUUUGGUAUAAAUUUCCUCUCGGAUUCGCUCUUCUCAGAGCGUUUCUGCCUGUCCCUCAAACUCCUCGAUCCACUAGAAGUCUCACUUUCAACUGUAGUGUCCAAACGAGGGGAAUUCACUUUAGAAAUCCAGGUUUCUCUUUUCAGCUCUGUUCUCGGAGUUCUCGUGCGAGCCUGUGCCCCUCAGACCCAACAGCACCACCUUCCGUAGCGACGAGCUUAUUACCGAGGCUGUCCCCCGGGCGCGCCCAGCUCGGCCACGCCGGUCCCCAGGACGGGGACGAGUGGUCAACUGUCUUAGGGAUCUCGCACUCCAACAGCUGGAUACCUUCUGGCUGAAGAAAAGGGGACACAAUUAUGUAAACAGUAUGACCUGUAUUUCUCUCAGACUUUAAAAGUAUUAUUAAAAUAUUUUUAAAGUUUUGUGUUACAUUUAGUGAAUACCUAGAUAUGAUUUACCUUGUUUUGUCUGUGGAGGAACUUUAUAAAAAUUAAAUUGAAAAACGAGAAAAAGUCUUUGGCUGACCGUAUGUCUGGGAUUUGGUGUUCAAAGAAUAUUGCCCCUCAAACUAUCAUCUGCACCAGGGAUCCUAAAAGUGGAACAGAUGGUGUUUUCGAGACCUGUCUGGAAAUAAAAAAGGUCACAGCGGUGAGCGAAAAAGCAGGAUCAAGGAAGAGGAGAGAUGCCAGGACAGAGAAAUGCAGGAACUUGUACCCACCAGUGUGGAGGGAAGGAGCAAAACUGGCUAGAUUGAGGUACUGUGGAGAUGAACUCGUGCUUUAUGAUUCCGUGGGGGGGAAAGAUAAUCAGAAUAUUCGUAAAAUUUUAUCUAAUACUCAGAAGGGUAGAGACUAGAGGAAGAAAUUUGGGGAUAAGUGUUUCAGAUCUCACUGAGUCUUUCUACUGCUAUUUUUUGGAAUAAAUUAAAAUUUGAAAGGACAUUUUAAAAACUUUGGGAAUGUUGACAGUAUGACAAGUGAAUGGGAAAGGAAGUUCAGCAGGUGACUGAUAAGAAGGCCAUUUUUCUGGUCUUUGAAUUACCAAUUACCAACAAUUACUCUCAGUAAACAGGGAAGCAGCCAAGUCAGGCACACAGAAAACCAGUAUUUGCAGAGCGAACGAAGGUUUGGGGUUUUUUCCCCUGAGAAUAAUUUUUAUCUAAAUAACUAUCUAGAAAAUAAUAAGUAUGUUACUCUGAAAACUUUUCUUUACAAUCCAAGCUCCUUUCUUCCCGAAUACUACUGAAUACAUUUUGGAGGAAGUUCUGUCAACUUUUCUGUGAGAUUUGAUGAAUAUUUCCCCAGUGAUUUCAAACGAGAGUCACAAUGGAGUGUCACAAUUGAAAUUCUAGUUAUUUAACUUAAUGGGUUUUUUAAGUGUUUAAGAUUGUUAUUAACAAGUAAAAGCAAUUUUCCGUCUCUGACAGGAGUACUGGUCGUCAUAUAUAUACAUUGUUUUAUUUUAUUAAAGUUGCACGUGGAACCAGGUAGUGUGUUCUGUGGAGCUCAGGGGCCACCGUGGGGAUUAAGACUGAGGUCAAGUGGACAGAGCUCCAGGACUCUGAUCCCUGUGUCAGCCAGAGCAACUCUGUGCUAUGUGUUUUCAGUGCAAACUUUCAUUUGUCUAAAAGAUUUCACUGCUAAAAAGGAAAAAAAAACAUUAAGCGCACUGUUAGAAG